rnacentral:rRNA from 1 species
GAGUUUGAUCGUGGCUCAGAUUGAACGCUGGCGGCAUGCCUUACACAUGCAAGUCGAACGGUAACAGGUCUUCGGAUGCUGACGAGUGGCGAACGGGUGAGUAAUACAUCGGAACGUGCCCGAUCGUGGGGGGAUAACGAAGCGAAAGCUUUGCUAAUACCGCAUAAGAUCUACGGAUGAAAGCAGGGGACCGCAAGGCCUUGCGCGAACGGAGCGGCCGAUGGCAGAUUAGGUAGUUGGUGGGAUAAAAGCUUACCAAGCCGACGAUCUGUAGCUGGUCUGAGAGGACGACCAGCCACACUGGGACUGAGACACGGCCCAGACUCCUACGGGAGGCAGCAGUGGGGAAUUUUGGACAAUGGGCGAAAGCCUGAUCCAGCCAUGCCGCGUGCAGGAUGAAGGCCUUCGGUU